UGAUUAGUGGCGACGGGUGAGUAACACGUGGGCAAUCUGCCCUUCACUCUGGGACAAGCCCUGGAAACGGGGUCUAAUACCGGAUACCACUCCUGCCUGCAUGGGCGGGGGUUGAAAGCUCCGGCGGUGAAGGAUGAGCCCGCGGCCUAUCAGCUUGUUGGUGGGGUAAUGGCCCACCAAGGCGACGACGGGUAGCCGGCCUGAGAGGGCGACCGGCCACACUGGGACUGAGACACGGCCCAGACUCCUACGGGAGGCAGCAGUGGGGAAUAUUGCACAAUGGGCGAAAGCCUGAUGCAGCGACGCCGCGUGAGGGAUGACGGCCUUCGGGUUGUAAACCUCUUUCAGCAGGGAAGAAGCGAAAGUGACGGUACCUGCAGAAGAAGCGCCGGCUAACUACGUGCCAGCAGCCGCGGUAAUACGUAGGGCGCAAGCGUUGUCCGGAAUUAUUGGGCGUAAAGAGCUCGUAGGCGGCUUGUCACGUCGGAUGUGAAAGCCCGAGGCUUAACCUCGGGUCUGCAUUCGAUACGGGCUAGCUAGAGUGUGGUAGGGGAGAUCGGAAUUCCUGGUGUAGCGGUGAAAUGCGCAGAUAUCAGGAGGAACACCGGUGGCGAAGGCGGAUCUCUGGGCCAUUACUGACGCUGAGGAGCGAAAGCGUGGGGAGCGAACAGGAUUAGAUACCCUGGUAGUCCACGCCGUAAACGUUGGGAACUAGGUGUUGGCGACAUUCCACGUCGUCGGUGCCGCAGCUAACGCAUUAAGUUCCCCGCCUGGGGGAGUACGGCCGCAAGCUAAACUCAAGGAUUGACGGGGGCCCGCACAGCGGCGGAGCAUGGUGGCUUA
rnacentral:rRNA from 1 species